rnacentral:rRNA from 1 species
ACGCUCGACACCUACGUGAGGCAGCAGUGGGGAAUAUUGGGCAAUGGGCGCAAGCCUGACCCAGCAACGCCGCGUGAAGGAAGAAGGCUUUCGGGUUGUAAACUUCUUUUGUCAGGGAACAGUAGAUGAGGGUACCUGACGAAUAAGCUCCGGCUAACUACGUGCCAGCAGCCGCGGUAAGUACUGAGGCGGGCGUGGCGAACGGACG